UACGAAGGGUGCAAACGUUGCUCGGAAUUAUUGGGCGUAAAGCGCACGUAGGCGGCAUUGCAAGUCGGAUGUGAAAUCCCUCGGCUUAACCAAGGAAGUGCAUCCGAAACUGCAGUGCUUGAGUACUUAAGAGGAUCGCGGAAUUCCCGGUGUAGAGGUGAAAUUCGUAGAUAUCGGGGAGGAACACCAGUGGCGAAGGCGGCGAUCUGGGAAGAUACUGACGCUGAGGUGCGAAAGCGUGGGGGAGCAAACAGG
rnacentral:rRNA from 1 species